rnacentral:rRNA from 3 species
AGGUGAACUGCGGAAGGACAUUG